rnacentral:rRNA from 1 species
GACGAACGCUGGCGGCGUGCCUAAUACAUGUAAGUAGAACGCACAGUUUAUACCGUAGCUUGCUACACCAUAGACUGUGAGUUGCGAACGGGUGAGUAACGCGUAGGUAACCUGCCUGGUAGCGGGGGAUAACUAUUGGAAACGAUAGCUAAUACCGCAUAAUAUUAAUUAUUGCAUGAUAAUUAAUUGAAAGGUGCAAUUGCACCACUACCAGAUGGACCUGCGUUGUAUUAGCUAGUAGGUGAGGUAACGGCUCACCUAGGCGACGAUACAUAGCCGACCUGAGAGGGUGAUCGGCCACACUGGGACUGAGACACGGCCCAGACUCCUACGGGAGGCAGCAGUAGGGAAUCUUCGGCAAUGGACGAAAGUCUGACCGAGCAACGCCGCGUGAGUGAAGAAGGUUUUCGGAUCGUAAAGCUCUGUUGUAAGAGAAGAACGGGUGUGAGAGUGGAAAGUUCACACUGUGACGGUGUCUUACCAGAAAGGGACGGCUAACUACGU